GGGUCGGUAGCUCAAUGGUAGAGCAACGGACUUUUAAUCCGUUGGUUCUGGGUUCGAGCCCCAGCCGACCCACCA
rnacentral:tRNA from 1 species